UGCAGUGGCAUAUGCAACUCU
rnacentral:miRNA from 1 species